rnacentral:rRNA from 1 species
UGGGGGAUAUUGCACAAUGGGCGAAAGCCUGAUGCAGCGACGCCGCGUGGGGGAUGAAGGCUUUCGGGUUGUAAACCUCUUUCGCUAUCGAACAAGGCCCGCUUAGGGUGGUUUGAGGGUAGGUGGAGAAGAAGCGCCGGCUAACUACGUGCCAGCAGCCGCGGUAAUACGUAGGGCGCGAGCGUUGUCCGGAAUUAUUGGGCGUAAAGGGCUUGUAGGCGGCUUGUUGCGCCUGCUGUGAAAACGCGGGGCUUAACUUCGAGCGUGCAGUGGGUACGGGCAGGCUUGAGUGAGGUAGGGGUGACUGGAAUUCCAGGUGUAGCGGUGGAAUGCGCAGAUAUCUGGAGGAACACCGAUGGCGAAGGCAGGUCACUGGGCCAUUACUGACGCUGAGGAGCGAAAGCAUGGGUAGCGAACAGG